AGACCGGAUAGAGUUCCCUGUGCUGUACAGCAGGACCUUCUUGCUUUUCCAUUCGAAAUGUCAUAGUUUGCACCUACUAACCCCAAACUCCCGGACCAUCCCACGCCUCCCCUCUCCCCCUUGACAACCACAAGUCUGUUCUCUGUGUCUGUGCGUCUGUUUUGUAGACAGGUGCAUUUGUGCCAUAUGGGAAUUUUUUUCAUUGAAUUUUUUGUUGGAAUAAUUGUAGGUUCAUGUGCAGUUCCAAGAAAUAACACAGAGAGUUCCCAUAUGGACUUCACGGCGUUUCCCCAAUUGUAACAUUUUGGAAAACUACUGUUUAAUAUGACAGCCAGGACAUUGACCUUGAGUCAACCCAUAGAUCUUCCUCAGAUUUCUCUGAUUUUCCGUGUGUGUGUGUGUGUGUGUGUGUGUGUGUGUGUACAGUGAAGACCACAUCCACACUGGGGUCCCUCGUGGUGCUUGCCGUCACCACACUCACCUCUCUCCCAUCACCAGCCCCCAUUCCUACCCGCUGGUAACCCCCAUCUCCAAAACUUUGUCAUUUCAGAAACGUCGCAUAAGCAGAAUCGCACAGUGUUAACCUUUGGGAAUGGGCUUUUGCCUCACAGCAGAACUUGGGUAUUCAUGCAGGUGCUUUGUUUACACCCAUGUUGUCCUGUGUCGGGUGUGUUUUAUUCACCACUCCAUCCUCUGCACCCAGAACCCUGCCCAGAGAUACAGGCUCUCAAUUAAAAAUGUGUCGGAUGAAUGAAUUCCGUCAACAAAGAAAUCCACCUGCAUCAUGUACCAACAAGAAAUGGAUUUUCUUUCUUUCUUUUUUUUUUUUUUUUUUUUUUACAAAAUGAAAAAAAGAAACAGCUAUUUUACUGACAUCUCCCAGGAAGACAGUUCAUGUGGAGCCCAAUGACAACACCCCACAUUCCCCACAAAGCUUCCCCUCUCUGCUGCCCCUGGUCUCUCCUUUCUUUCCCUAUUGGUCCCUGAAAACCUCCCCUACACCCCAACUUUUCCAUUUCCCACUCAGCUUACAGAGCCCAUUAGACAGAAACCUGAGCCCUGGGAUGGCAGCACGAAGACCAUCUGCUCGCCCCCCUGACUCUCUGGGUACCUCAGCACCUCCAGCCUUGAUGAGAUAGAUUGGGAGGGAGCGUCAACCAUCGUGACUUCAGAAAGACGCGAUGGAGGCCUGCCCUGGGUGGCAGGAAUGGAAAAGAGCUGACAAGUGGGACCGUCACUCGCCUGUGUGCUAUUCCGCUUUAAAUAUUUUAAAAAUGCCUCCCCACUUUUUUCUGCUCAGUUCCCAUUGCCAAGCAGGACCCAGACCUGGUCAGGCAAAAGGGCGCAGCUCUGCGGGGAAGGAAAGUAUGCCUGUGGUUUGUUUACCCUGUUCGAGAUGACAGCUGACAUACCGGACCGAUGAGGAAGCCUUCACACCACAGCUUUUCCUGUUCCAGAAAUCCUGAAGGUCGAUGCCCGGACAUCCAAUUAAUCCUCAGCCUUGGUUCCGUCGUAUUUCAGACACAGGCCUGGGUCAUUAGCUCCAAAGGCCGCAGGAGCCAAGACGCAUGCGCCUCUCUUGAAGCCAAGACAGUCUGUCUCGGCCGCACAGCUUCCUUGUUAUGCUUCACGUGGGUGUCCUGCGUGGCCAGGAAGUUCUGCAGGAAAAAUUCCCCCAGGUUUGUUUACCGCUUUGAUGAAGCCCCAGCAUUUCACAAGCGCUCCACGAUGUGCCAGGUAAGUCCCCAAAUGUUUGACCCACUAACCUUUUCCUUCAAGGGUUUCUCUAAUUUGAUGCCACCCCAGGAAUGAGCUGGAUGUGUACAUGGCCAAAUCAACCCACGAUAAAUCUCCAUGCAUUUGAGCUCCAUCCACACUACUGGUUUGUUCUCAUUUCCCCUCAAAGUUCCUGAGCAUCAGACAGGCUCCAUUGAGAAGGUUGCUGGUCCAGGUUAAGGGCAAACACCUUUGAUCACUUCAGCUAUUUGAAGACUGGGUGGUUUUUAAAUGUCCAGAAGUCUUUCCUGUGGCAAAUCAGGACGUGCAGGCAGAGGGUCAUUGCCACCUCCCUCCUCAUCCAACAAGUGGGACCCACGGCCUCUGCACAUCCACGUCCUUCUAGGCGUUUGGACUCAGCGACCAGCCAGGCGCAGACCACAUAGGACCAGCCGCCUGGCCGCAGCAAGAAGCUGUCUCUUAAGGUGAAGCCCCAGCAAAGAAGUUUUCUUGGACACGGUGAGCAGAGAGAGAUGUGGGAGCCCUGUGUUGGGGCAAGUGGGGACAGGCCAGCCUGCCCUCUUCCUAGUGACCAGGAAAGGCCUCCUGCACAGCUGCACCUUUGGGAGUGUCCUGGUGGACCGAAGGAGCCCCUGGCCAGAUGCCGAGCAUGCUGCUCAAGACAAGGAUCUGGAGGCGGCUGUGGGGGCGCUGAACAAAGCAGGUGUUGAGUGAAUUCCCCAAGAAAGAGCGGUGGAAAGAGUGGGAGAAUUGGGGAGUGUGUUUGCUCUGAUUACAAAAGUCAUAUAUAUUCAUGGUAGAACACCUGUUUAUG
rnacentral:lncRNA from 1 species